AGAACACGACAGAACUCUUUUCUCUCUAUCUUCCAUCUCAAAACCCUAGCGCAGCCAUGUCUGAAGUGGAGGUUGCUUGAAGUAGAGGUUGCUUGAAGCGGAUUUUUACGGCGGCGGAUAAACACUAAUUAAAUGAUUCUUCUUCACUCCGAUUAUACCUUAAUCAAAUGAUUUCUUCAUUCGCCUCUCUCAGCUCUGAAACCCUAGAUUCACAACUUCAUCAACUGCUCUGAUUUUGUUGGUUUAGGAAACUAAAGAUAUCACAAAUCUUUUGAUGACAGAGAAAUUGUUGUGAAGAACCUUUCAGAGACAUCAAAAUAGGGGAAUAGAGAAUUUACAGAUGAAGAGACGGUUAAGAAUGGCCACAAUAGGGCUUCGAUGGUGGCGCCUACAGAUGAGAUUCAACUCACCAAAGUUAAGAAAUCCCUAAGUUGCAUUUUUGGUUAUUUUGAUUUGUUAUUUUUUCAAAUUUCAUCUCCAUUUUUAAUUUGUUGUUUAUGAUGCAGGUUUUUUUUGCAUAUCGAUUCUCUAUUUAAUGUCAUGAUUGUAGUGUUAGUUUGUUUUUGGAAUCAUGAAGUUCUAGGUUUGGAGUUGAAAGUGAACUCCCAUUAAGUUCACAGCUUCAAGAUAUGAUCUUGAGCCAGAAGAUUACCAUCUUCACAAGCAUUGUGAUAUCAGAAUAAUAACAAGAGGUCUAAUGUCUAAUUGUUAGAAGAAGACUAUAGUCGUCAAAUUGUAGGAUUAAAGUUUUUUUAAAGAUUUUGUUUGUGGGAGAUUGAGGUGGAGGUGGAUUAGAGAGAGGUUUAAAUGGAGUGUCGAUGGGAAGAGAUAAGCUAAGAAGGAAGACGAUGGAACACAAGGCUUUGAACUUGCAGGAAGUAGCUUUUGGUGGUUUAGUGGUGAAAAGUGUCGCCUUUGGCUCUUAUCAGUUCGCCUGUAUGUUGUUCUUUUUUUGAUCUGGUCUACUCGGGGGAAAACAUGUUGCUGGUUGUUCAAAGCCAUAGGGCCCAUAACCUACUUGUGGAUUUUGUUCGUAAAGGCAUCUUAUGUGGAAACAAGAUGAAGGCAAACUUCUUCCCGUGAUAGAGGUGGCAAAAAUUCAGUAAUUACAGUAGAUAACAUAAAGGUUGAUAUAUGUGUAUUUGCUUUUGAUGUCAUGCUUGCUAAUGGGGAACAGUAAUCAUCUUGAUCCUGCUCUUAGAUAUUUUAUGAAUUUUUAAUUUUAAUUCACUAAACUGUAAAAAUGAUGGUGGUUAAACUUUUCACAUGCUCUUUUAUGACAGGUUGUUGGGUUUACCUUUGCGUCAAAGAAGAAAAUGUGAGAUUACUAAUUUGCAUAUGUUUUUAUAGUUCAUCUAACGAGGCCUAAUGCAUUAGUGUUACUCUUGAUUCAA